rnacentral:lncRNA from 1 species
CUGUGGCUGUGAGUGGAUAGUUGCUGACUGGGGUGUCUGUGUGUCCGUCUGUCCACAGAUGCUGUGGCUGUGAGUGGAUAGUUGCUGCAGAGGCUUUGGUAAGGGAGCUGGGCCAGGAUAACGUCGCACUGUACUGGGUGUGUGUGUGGAGUGCCUUGGUUGGCAUGCAGGGACUGUGGGGAUAGUUUUGAGUGGGUGGGGUAUAGUGUGGACUCAGCCCAGGUGACUUGGCCACUCAACCUGAGUGCUUCAGUGUCUGCACAGCUGAGAUGGGAUGGUUGGAUACAUCUCAGGUGCUGGAGAGGGGAUGACAGAAAAGUGUCAUUUGGGGUUCUACAGAUGGUGGGGUCCUUAUCCCUUUUCUAAAAUCACCCUUAGCUUCUCUUCUAGUUGCAGAGUGCCCAAAACAAUGGCAGCCAACUGCCCAUUGCCUCUGCAGGCCAGGCUGUGCCUCAGGUAAAUGUCACCACAGAAAGAGAAGGAUGCUGAGGAGCAACGGCAAUGUCAGCCCGGUUUUUAAGCCCUCCUCAUGACAGAAUGGUGGCCCACAGGUCGGGAACUGACCCAGCUCUUCGAUGAACAGCUUGCCUGUGUCCUGGCUGCGGAUAGUAUAGGCUACAUAGACAUCAGGAGCGCUCUUCCUCUGGCAGUCCUCGAGCAUCUUCAGGACCCUGACCAGUGACAGUGUC